rnacentral:rRNA from 1 species
AUUGAACGCUGGCGGCAGGCCUAACACAUGCAAGUCGAACGCGUGGCGGACGGGUGAGUAAUGUCUGGGAAACUGCCCGAUGGAGGGGGAUAACUACUGUAAACGCUAGCUAAUAUCGCAUACCAUCGGAUGUGCCCAGAUGGGAUAUGAUUGUGGGUGGGGUAACGGCUCACCUAGGCGACGAUCCCUAGCUGGUCUGAGAGGAUGACCAGCCACACUGGAACUGAGACACGGUCCAGACUCCUACGGGAGGCAGCAGUGGGGAAUAUUGCACAAUGGGCGCAAGCCUGAUGCAGCCAUGCCGCGUGUAUGAAGAAGGCCUUCGGGUUGUAAAGUACUUGCAGCGGGGAGGCGUUACCCGCAGAAGAAGCACCGGCUAACUCCGUGCCAGCAGCCGCGGUAAUAC